rnacentral:rRNA from 1 species
UGCCAGCAGCCGCGGUAAUACGAAUGGGGCAAGCGUUGUUCGGAAUCACUGGGCUUAAAGCGUGCGUAGGUGGAUAAGAAAGUCAGAAGUGAAAUCCCAGGGCUCAACCCUGGAACUGCUUUUGAAACUCCUUAUCUAGAGUUCGGGAGAGGUAAGCAGAAUUCCUAGUGUAGAGGUGAAAUUCGCAGAUAUUAGGAGGAACACCAAUUGCGAAGGCAGCUCACUGGGCCGCUAUCGACGCCGAGGAGCGAAAGCUAGGGGAGCGAACAGGAUUAGAUA